rnacentral:lncRNA from 1 species
GUGCGAUAUAUGCUAGCAAAAAAUUUAUUCUUACACAUAAAUUUCAGGGAAGUUUACCAAGAGAAGGUAGUAUAAUUGUUUCACAACCAUAUAGUUUUUUUUUCGUUCUUAAAAUACGCAACUGCGGCCUAGAUGAAGAUACGCAUCUGUGGAAUAGUGGUGGCGGCUGCAACCACUUGGCCACUGAUUUGACAGGAGACAGCAGCUAGCCCGCUAGCCUGUGAACAGCGUGGUUCCAAGUUCGAACUUUGUUGCUGCACUCGCGCUGUACGAAUGUCAGGGUUUCACAUUGUCGAGUUCCGAAGUGAAAAGAGCACAUAUGUUGUUCCCACAAAUUGGGUGACUCGUAGAAAGCGACAUGUGAUGUGCUUUUGGCCUCCAACUGACCUGCAAAGCGAAGUGGAUCGCUUGGUGCGGUCAAUGACUCCAGCAGAAGAUGACUGGCCAAUGUACAAGGCCAGGAUUCUUGGCACUAAAGGCACAUAUGAACGAGCCAAGGAGUUCUUGCCACAAGCGUGUUACACGUCAAACAUGGACACCGAAGAUUCAGACACUCGGAAAAAAGGACGCCGGAAGAGGAAGAGAAGAGAUUUCUCUGAAAGCGAUGACGACACAUGCAGUUCAGAGAGUUCAUCCAGUCGGGGUAAAUUUUUGCCUUUUUUGCCAGUCUCAUCAAAAGCAUUUUUUUUGCUGGCUU